AAGGAUUUAAGUUAAAAAAACUUUUAACCUUCAAAGUUAAUAAUAGAUUGAACAUAUCUAAGCCUUA
rnacentral:tRNA from 1 species